rnacentral:rRNA from 1 species
AGUGAACGCUGGCGGCGUGCCUAACACAUGCAAGUCGAACGAGAACGGAACUAGCUUGCUAGUUUGUCAGCUAAGUGGCGCACGGGUGAGUAAUAUAUAGUUAAUCUGCCCCAAAGAAGAGAAUAAUUGUUGGAAACGACUUGUAACGCUCUAUAUGCCUUUAUUACAUAAGUAAGCAAGGGAAACAUUUAUGGCUUUGGGAUGAGACUGUACGGUAUCAACUAGUUGGUGAGGUAAUGGCUCACCAAGGCUAUGACAUCUAACUGGUUUGAGAGGAUGAUCAGUCACACUGGAACUGAGACACGGUCCAGACUCCUACGGGAGGCAGCAGUGGGGAAUAUUGCACAAUGGAGGAAACUCUGAUGCAGCAACGCCGCGUGGAGGAUGACACAUUUCGGUGCGUAAACUCCUUUUAUUAGGGAAGAUAAUGACGGUACCUAAUGAAUAAGCACCGGCUAACUCCGUGCCAGCAGCCGCGGUAAUACGGGGGGUGCAAGCGUUACUCGGAAUCACUGGGCGUAAAGAGCAUGUAGGCUGGUUUGUAAGUUGGAAGUGAAAUCCUAUGGCUUAACCAUAGAACUGCUUCCAAAACUGCUUACCUAGAGUAUGGGAGAGGUAGAUGGAAUUUCUGGUGUAGGGGUAAAAUCCGUAGAGAUCAGAAGGAAUACCGAUUGCGAAGGCGAUCUACUGGAACAUUACUGACGCUGAGAUGCGAAAGCGUGGGGAGCAAACAGGAUUAGAUACCCUGGUAGUCCACGCCCUAAACGAUGCACACUAGUUGUUGCUAUGCUAGACAUAGCAGUAAUGCAGUUAACACAGUAAGUGUGCCGCCUGGGGAGUACGGUCGCAAGAUUAAAACUCAAAGGAAUAGACGG